rnacentral:rRNA from 1 species
CCUACGGGAGGCAGCAGUAGGGAAUCUUUCACAAUGGGCGAAAGCCUGAUGGAGCAACGCCGCGUGCAGGAUGAAGGCCUUCGGGUUGUAAACUGCUUUUAUAAGCGAGAAAUAUGAUGGUAACUUAUGAAUAAGGAUCGGCUAACAACGUGCCAGCAGCCGCGGUCAUACGUAGGAUCCGAGCAUUAUCCGGAGUGACUGGGUGUAAAGAGUUGCGUAGGUGGCAUAAUAAGUAGCUAGUGAAAUCUGGUGGCUCAACCAUUCAGACUAUUAGCUAAACUGUUAAGCUCGAGACCGUUAGGGGUAACUGGAAUUUCUAGUGUAGGAGUGAAAUCCGUAGAUAUUAGAAGGAACACCAAUAGCGUAGGCAGGUUGCUGGGACGGUUCUGACACUAAGGCACGAAAGCGUAGGGAGCAAACGGGAUUAGAUACCCGAGUAGUC